GCAGUGGUGGUUCAGUGGUAGAAUUCUUGCCUUCCAUGCAGGAGAUCAGGGUUCAAUUCCCCACCAGUGCA
rnacentral:tRNA from 1 species